UGGGGAAUUUUGGACAAUGGGCGAAAGCCUGAUCCAGCAAUGCCGCGUGUGUGAAGGAGGCCUUCGGGUUGUAAAGCACUUUUGUCCGGAAAGAAAUCCUUGGCUCUAAUACAGUCGGGGGAUGACGGUACCGGAAGAAUAAGCACCGGCUAACUACGUGCCAGCAGCCGCGGUAAUACGUAGGGUGCAAGCGUUAAUCGGAAUUACUGGGCGUAAAGCGUGCGCAGGCGGUUUGCUAAGACCGAUGUGAAAUCCCCGGGCUCAACCUGGGAACUGCAUUGGUGACUGGCAGGCUAGAGUAUGGCAGAGGGGGGUAGAAUUCCACGUGUAGCAGUGAAAUGCGUAGAGAUGUGGAGGAAUACCGAUGGCGAAGGCAGCCCCCUGGGCCAAUACUGACGCUCAUGCACGAAAGCGUGGGGAGCAAACAGGAUUAGAUACCCUGGUAGUCCACGCCCUAAACGAUGUCAACUAGUUGUUGGGGAUUCAUUCCUUAGUAACGUAGCUAACGCGUGAAGUUGACCGCCUGGGGAGUACGGUCGCAAGAUUAAAACUCAAAGGAAUUGACGGGGUCAUAGCUGUUUCCU
rnacentral:rRNA from 1 species